GGUUGUUGAGUUUGAUUUUCAUUAGUUAUAUCAGGUUCCUGAUGGGGGAGAUUUUCGAGAUUGUCUUGAACUGGAGUUGUGUGAUCCGAGUCAGUAAGACCAAGAUCAACAACUUGAGGGAAAGACACAUGUUCUUCCUCAAAGACAAAAUCUCCUACAACUUUAUCUCCCCACCCCCCAAACUCAAUAUCCUCAAAGAACCUAGCAUUACCCGUCUC
rnacentral:lncRNA from 1 species